ACGCUGGCGGCAUGCUUUACACAUGCAAGUCGGACGGCAGCACAGAGAAGCUUGCUUCUUGGGUGGCGAGUGGCGAACGGGUGAGUAAUAUAUCGGAACGUACCGAGUAAUGGGGGAUAACUAAUCGAAAGAUUAGCUAAUACCGCAUAUUCUCUGAGGAGGAAAGCAGGGGACCUUCGGGCCUUGCGUUAUUCGAGCGGCCGAUAUCUGAUUAGCUAGUUGGUGGGGUAAAGGCCUACCAAGGCGACGAUCAGUAGCGGGUCUGAGAGGAUGAUCCGCCACACUGGGACUGAGACACGGCCCAGACUCCUACGGGAGGCAGCAGUGGGGAAUUUUGGACAAUGGGCGCAAGCCUGAUCCAGCCAUGCCGCGUGUCUGAAGAAGGCCUUCGGGUUGUAAAGGACUUUUGUCAGGGAAGAAGAGGCUGUUGCUAAUACCGACAGCUGAUGACGGUACCUGAAGAAUAAGCACCGGCUAACUACGUGCCAGCAGCCGCGGUAAUACGUAGGGUGCGAGCGUUAAUCGGAAUUACUGGGCGUAAAGCGAGCGCAGACGGUUACUUAAGCAGGAUGUGAAAUCCCCGGGCUCAACCUGGGAACUGCGUUCUGAACUGGGUGACUAGAGUGUGUCAGAGGGAGGUAGAAUUCCACGUGUAGCAGUGAAAUGCGUAGAGAUGUGGAGGAAUACCGAUGGCGAAGGCAGCCUCCUGGGAUAACACUGACGUUCAUGCUCGAAAGCGUGGGUAGCAAACAGGAUUAGAUACCCUGGUAGUCCACGCCCUAAACGAUGUCAAUUAGCUGUUGGGCAACUUGAUUGCUUAGUAGCGUAGCUAACGCGUGAAAUUGACCGCCUGGGGAGUACGGUCGCAAGAUUAAAACUCAAAGGAAUUGACGGGGACCCGCACAAGCGGUGGAUGAUGUGGAU
rnacentral:rRNA from 1 species